GGACUGGCCCACCCAUGAGGCUCCGUGAGGUGGUUGCUUCAGGUAGCAGAGAUGAGACAGCUGGGAAGGGUGGCAAAAGGAACACACAACUCACUUUCUCCUGGUACUGUUACUCAGUGUCACCUCCUCAUCCACCACUGCCCUCCCUGUCAGCUUCCAUUACAGUCUUCUUGUUUCUCAGGCGGUGGCUGUAAAGGAAUUGGUGGCGGGUGGAGGUGGGCAAAGGAGAAGGAGGAGACAUUGCCUGUGGGGUUGGAGGUGGGAAUGGCAGCAGUGGAGAGGGGGCGGAGUCAUCAUUGGGGGUGAAAGAGGUCCCCCCCCCCAGAAUUUACUAUUUUGUCUCAGGUGGCAAAAUGUCCUGGGCCAGCCCUGUCCACUGCUCCAUCAUACACUGUUGCUGCCUGACCAGGGUUUGAAUUAGUCUGCCAAGGACAGCGUUCAUGUCAUGACGCUCUUCUGGGACUUUACUAAACUGGCUGGAUGUGUCUUUGGCUGUACAGUUGUCCUCUCUCUACAGGGCCACUCGCUGUCCACAGUUAGAGCAGAAUCUUGUGCAUUCUUUUGCUGAUGUCGAACAUUAAACGCCCCCAAAACCUUUGAAUGCCUUGAAAAUAUUCAUAGAAGGUUCACAAUCAAAAUUUGCAGAGAAUUUGGAGAUGAAAGAUAGGGGAAAAUUAAUUUUAGCAGUGAGAUCACCAACCCCAUGCCACUUUUGUGGAAACUUGACCGUGUUCCGGUCAAUUCUGCUAAUUAGCUGUUUCCCUACAGUUCAUUGGAUAUUUGCAUUGUGAUAUUUAGGGCUGUAAAUGUCCCCCAUGUUUCAGUUCAGAUAAUACCUUUUUCUGCUGCUGUCGGAUCAAGCACUGCCUGGUUUGACUUCUUACUGAUGACCUAGUAUUUCACUUGGGUUCUGAAAUACAUUGUGUUAGUGAUGUUCCUGCCCAGGAGAUAAGCUGAGCUGAACCUAUUAUCUGGGCCAUGCUAUUGUCAAAAGCAAGUCAGGGGCUGGUCUGCUUCUGUUGGGCUCUCAUUUAUGGAUCUCCUUGCCUUGGGGGUUUUAGAGGCAGCGCUCUUGGUUAACCUUUCAGGUUUUGUCUAAUACCUUCCUUUUCUCAAAAAACCCCCUCUGUGCUGUUUAGCCUCCCUUCUGGUGGAAAUUUCUUUGCAAUAGCAUCCGUACCUCUGUCCGUGGAUAUGCUCUUCAAGAAAAGAAAUAUCAAGGAGUUUGGUACACUGUGAAAAGAGGAGGGUUGGCCUGCUGAUGAUGUGUUGAGCUGGAUAGAGGAGGAAGGAAAGAAACAGGCAUGUGAAGGAUGCGAUUUUAUGGUUCCCGGGUGGGCUUCCUAAGGGCCAUCAUCAGAUUUACCCUCCCAGCCUCAAAGAGACAGCUCCAGUGUUCCAGAAUCAGAGCUUCCCUCUCUGAUGACAUUGGCUCCUCAGACACAGGGAAUCGAACCUGGUUCACCAGAUUACGAGUCCACCACUCUUAACCACUACACCACACUGGCUCUCAGUAAUGAUUCUGAAUGCCAGUUCCUGGGAACCACAGGAGGGGAGAGGGCUCUUGUACUCAAAUCCUGCUUGCUUGUUUUUCACAGGCUUCUAUCUGGGCUAACAACAUAUAUUAACUUAUAUGUUAAUAAGUUUAUCUUGUGGUGUCUGUAGGGCCAAACAGCGUAUGUACGUUGGAGAUGUUCCAGAAACUUUCUGUGGGUCUUGUUUCCCUUCCACUGCUUCCCAUGGUAGAGAAAACACACAAAAAAGUUCUUUUGUUUCCAAAACCACCUUGGGGUUCCCACCCACCACACUUAGCUCAAAGAAUACCUUCUGCUCCCAUCAGAUCAAGUACUCUUGCUGGUUUCCCAUAGGCAUCUGACCAGCCACUGUGAGAACAGGAUGCUGGACUAGAUGGGCUAUUGUCUUUAAGGUCUUACUCUGGUUUGACUCCUUUCUGAUGACCUAAUAACACACUUGGGUUCUGAAAUGGGAUGUUCCUUCCCAGGAGAUCAGUUGAGAUGAACAACUGCAGCCUUAGUGUGUCCACUGAGGUUUUUUUUUGGGGGGGGAGCGGGUGGCGCUGUGGUCUAAACCACUGAGCCUCUUGGAUUGCUGCUCAGAAGGUCAACAUUUUGAAUCCCUGUGAUGGGGUGAGCUCCCGUUGCUCGGUCCCAGCUGCCAACCUAGUAGUUUGAAAGCACUCCACUGCAAGUAGAUAAAUAGUUACUGCUGCAGUGAGACGGUAAACGGUGUUUCCGUGCGCUCUGGUUUCCGUCACGGAGUUCCAUUGUGCCAGAAGCGGUUUAGUCCUGCUGGCCACAUGACGCAGAAAGCUGUCUGUGGACAAACUUCCGGCUCCCUCGGCUGGAAAGUGAGAUGAGCGCCGCAACCCCAUAGUCACCUUUGACAGGACUUAACAGUCCAGGGGUCCUUUACCUUUUUACUGAGAUUUUUACAGUGCCAUUGCAGUUCCUUUUAGGGGUGGGGGUUUGUGGGGGCAUAUUGACACCUGGAUCAGUGGUGAAAUAAUACAAUUGUCCUAUUGCUUCCCCACUCAUUAGAUAUUAGUGGAUGUUAUUUAUUUUUUAUUUAUCUAAACCAUUUACAGAGACCACUUCAUAGCAAUGGGUUUUGGUUUAUAUUGAAAGAAAAAAUGCCACAGGUACAAAAGUAUACGACAAACACAAUAUCAACAACUGAUCACACAGUUGGUUAGAGCAUGGUGCUGAUAAUGCCAAGGUUGUAAGUGCAGGGGGUUUGAACUACAUGGUCGUCAGGGUCCCUUCCAACUCUACAAUUAUAUGAUUCUAUGAAAGAAAAAAGGAAAUCCAUGUAUGCAAAUGUACAAUGCAGCACAAUAUCUGUGCAUGCAAAACAAUAAUCACAUCAACGUGAAAUUGCAAACUAUAUGAAGCUCUCCAGAAGGUUCUACCCACACAACCAUUCUUACACGCUCUCGCUUUUAUCAACUUUUCAUCCCCAUAUACAACACAUUUACCAGUUUUCUUUUCUUUUCCUACACAUCCUUUCAUCAAUCCCUUUACACACAACAGCCAGUAAUCAUCAAACCCACCAAUCAAUAAUAGCAGCUGACAACCAAUAAUAACCCAACUAUCCCACAUCACAGCAGCAUCGAUAAAUCCAGUCUACACCUGCUGAGCUAACAGAUACGCUGUUCCAUCUCUCACUGAGGAGCAGGGAAUGUAUUUCUAUACCAGUACAGGCUUUUCUUUUCUUUUCUUUUUGCUGGGGGUGGGUCAGAUAACACAGCUUUCCCUCUGAAAACCUCCAACAACCAAAUCCUAACGCACAUGGUACUCCACCUAAUCCCACAAGACAAUCCGAGCAAUAAAUAUUACACAACAUUGGGGUGAUUGUGCAAGCGUUGCCAUAUUUCAAGAAGUAAAACGUUUUUAAAAACCCAGACAUUUUGCAGAUUUCCCCAAAUCCCCCCCCAACGCUAAUUCCAUCACUGGAAUCCUGGACAUAAGGCAACCCUAGAUUGUCCUUGUGCCCACACGCCAAUCCAGAAGUCCAGGAGGUCCCCCUUUUAUGUCUACAAGCCCAGUCAUUUCAGUGAGUUGGAAACUCCAUUCUCCUCUUCUGUCCCAGUGUCACAGCAGAAGCUGGUCCCAAAUAUCUAUCUCCCAAGAAGACUGUAACUCUGAUUUUAUUUCAUCUUAACUGUUUUUAAUUCUGAAUUUUGCAUAGUUUUAAGCCAUCCUGGGAUCUGCUGGUGAAGGGUGUGUAAUAAUUCGAUAUAACAACAACAACAACAACAGCAGCAACCUGUUAUACAAGUGGGGGGAGCAGUGAUAGCUGGUCUGUCCUCUCACCCUCCAUCCCAUCCUCCUCACUGUUUGAAUUAAGUAAAUGAGGUCAAUUGUCUGUUGCAAAGUUUGCUUUCAAGUGAAAAUGCAGUCUCCUAAAGAAAUACAGUGGUACAUCGGGUUACAGACACUUCAGGUUACAGACGCUUCAGGUUACAGACUCCACUAACCCAGAAAUAGUACCUCGGGUUAAGAACUUUGCUUCAGGAUGAGAACAGAACUCAUACGGUGGUGGCGUGGCGGCAGUGGGAGGCCCCAUUAGCUAAAGUGGUGCUUCAGGUUAAGAACAGUUUCAGGUUAAGAACGGACCUCCAGAACAAAUUAAGUUCUUAACCUGAGGUGCCACUGUAUGCUGAAAACUGAAAUGGACAGAUUUCUCCAUCCCUUCUGGGGGCUGGGAGUAAGCCCCUCCCCUUGCCUUCUCCCCCUUGAACUUUCUCAGGAAAAAAAGAUGAACUUGCCAUUACAAUGUACAGCAGAUAGAACCUCUGAGGUCAAGCUGAGCAAAAUGUAAGAAUAAUUUCCAUGGGCAGUGUGCAUGUGAGUGUGGUGAGGGGGCAUUCCUGGAGUAAAUCUUUGCCUUUAACAGAUACAUUUAACAAGGCUGGUAUAUUUAUAAUGUGCGCAGAGGGGUGCGAGUGGGAUUUUGCCCCCAGGCUGCAAGCCCAGAGCUGAGCAUCCUUGGAGAAUAGUUUUCCCAAGCUGCAUACUGAGUGAGAUGCUCAGCUGGUUCCUCCUAUUACACCUCUGUCAUAAUAGCUCCCUGUUCCUCCCAGUGAUAUGAGGCAUAGCCUGUUGUUUUGACCUUGCCUUGUUGGAAACUGAUUGCCAGUUUAGCUGUCCUUUUCUGCCCAUUUGAGAUGGUAAUGGAAGAAAAAUCAGAACUGACAGUGCAUUUUAAAUCCAAACGCUGACAGAAAUGGGCCUCUCUCUCUCUCUCUCUCUCUCUCUGGAACAAUUCCAGCUCUUGGUUGGAAAAACACAGGGCAGCUGGUUGGUGAAGACAGUGUGGCUUUCUGCAUACCUGUAUAUAAAGGUGCAUCCUUUUUCUUCUCCAGGAUCUGCUAGAGAAAGUCGGGCAUGGAAGAAGAACGCUAGGAUUUUACAAUUGCUAUGAGGAUGAAAGAGGAGUCCCUUUCUCACUAGACGUUUGUCUUCCAUUAUCCAUUCCACUGCACAAUAACCAAGGGGAAGAUGGCUGCCUCUGUCCUCCUUUUCAGC